rnacentral:sRNA from 1 species
UAGUAGAUGCACCCUGAUGGCUUCCCGUUCAACUUGAGCGGGAUUUUUUUU